CCUAAGACCCAAUGCAGCCAAACAGAAUAUGAAUAAAUAUAUUUUAAAAUGUCAGAGGUUCCAGGCAGGCGGGUUAAUUCCCCAGCCUGUGGCUUAACGCGUGCAUCACACCCUGCUCACACGCGCUUAGUGGCAACAUCGUGAAGACCAUACCGAAGGAAACGACACAACAGCAAACCCUGAGAGGAGACACCCCCCGCCGCCAUGGACAGCUGUGUUGCUGUAUCGCUGGGUCCCUGCACAGAAAUUUGGGUGUAAAAGGAAACCUUGAGAAGUGUGGAGACAUAAAGAGUAUCUCUAAGAAGAAAAGUAGGGUUUGGCAGUGAAUCUUUUUCUGUGCAUAAUUUAACUUCUUUCUUUGCUACCCUGAACCAGAAGGGAAUAAAGUUAAAUAUAGACCUUGAGAUACCGCCAGACUUGUGCAAAUAGACAUUAGGAAGAGUGUUGAAAGUUGCAGAAAACUACAGAGUACAAUUAAAUUUUUGUCCAUCAAUCACUGCUUGCUAGGUACUCUUACAGAAGUUUUGUGUGAGAAUGCUGUUUUAUCUCUAAAGGAAGGUAUUAUUCACCAGCUUUUAGAGAUGAUGGCCUUCGGAGAGAUUAAGUAACUUGCCUGAAGUCACACAGCUGGAAAAAGGGUUGAAACCCAGGUUUGUCUGAGUUAUCAGUGCCUAUCUUUUUCAAUGUAUUUGUUGCCUCCACCAGGAGACUCAUCUCUCAGAGAGACACAUACACAGGCCUCCUGGGGGCACGUAUGUGUCCUGCUUCUAUUUGUCUUUCACGCUUCAUGUUUAUGUGAUGCUAAGAAGCUCAUGUUUCCGGUUUGCUCUGAAAAUUCAAAUGGCUACCCUGUCUCGCUCUACUCCCCAUCCACCUGGUAGUUAAUAAUCACUACUUCCUGGGCAGGAAUUACCCCUGCAGAAUCAUCCUUUCUCCCCCUGCCCUCUUCAGCAGCUUGGCCAGUGUCAAUAACCCCAGACAGAAAUUCAAACAUAGUCAGAGGGACUUCCCUGGUGGCCCAGUGGUUAAGAAUCCUCCUGCCAAUGCAGGGGGUGGGGACACAGGUUCCAUCCCUGGUCUGGGAAGAUCCCACGUGCUGUGGGGCAACGGAGUCCUUGUGCCGUACCUACUGAGCCCGUGUUCUAGAGCCCAGGAGCCGCAACACCGACGACUGUGUGCCCUGGAGCCCCUGCACCACAGCAAGAGAAGCCACCGCAGUGAGAAGCCCGUGCGCUGCAACUUGAGAGCAGCCCCCACUUGCUGUAACUUCAGAAAGCCCCGGUGCAGUAGCAAGGUCCCAGUGCAGCCAAAAUUAAAAUAAAUAAAUACUAAAAAAAAAAAAAAAUAGACAGUGGCAACUCCAGCUCCAGACAAGGAAACAGGCCCUGGCCCCACCCGCCUCUAGGCUCAAGGGUCUGUUAAUAUCACCUUGGAGAAUCCAUCUCAAGACUUUUCAGCAUCAGGAGGGGCUUCCAAACUCUGACCAGCAGAGGAAAUGAGGCCACGUUGAACCAACAGCACUGUUUUCUGCCAGCCGCAAACACUUGGCAAGAAGGAAGGCUUGGAACAGGUGGGUGAUGCUUUUUAAUUGGAUGGGCCUCGCGGCUGUAACAAAAAUCAAUAUAUGGCUGGGGCGGCUGCGCAGGCGUUGAUGCAUCUGGGCCUCGCGGCUGGUGCCUGAGCCUGUGUUGGAGGCGCCCCCUGGGGCGGUGGGGGUCUGGGGGAUCCGCGGGGGGCUCACCUUAUUGGAUCAGAUGAGCUGGGGGGGGAGGGGGCGUUGGCUCUGAGCAGAGCGGAUGAGACAACGGUUCUGUGGAGCCGUCAAGUUUAUGUUUCCUUCCAAAUGAGGCGUUGGGGGGAGAGAAGAGUCGCUGGGUACUCAGGCCACGAGGGAAGCUUUGACCCGGUCUGGAGGUUUUUCUCAGGAACACAUGAACGGGGCACGGCCUCUCUUGGUGUCCCUCCUGGGUCAGGGGGCCUGGAGGGGACCCAGGCUGGAGAGCAGGUCUGGGAGCCUGGUGAGGCCCCAUCAGGAGCCAGGCCCAGAGCUGGGGACAGACGGCAGGAAACCACCGCGACAGCCAGAAAAGCGCUCCCAGCUCCGAGCGUGGGCACCCAGCGGCCAGGCAGGAGCGGCCGCCACAGCCCGCGACGCGCCUUCCGAGGACUUCCAGGGCUGCUUCUAGACGCCUCUGCAGCAUGGGGGCUGCGCACUGCCUGCGAACGGCGCCAAGAGCCCAUUCCACCGUUCCUAACCAGAAAAGUCCUCCUUUCACAUUUGAUAAUGUCAAAUAUAAUUUGAAAUACGUUAUGGCCAGUCUAAUUACAGUUUCUUUGUCCUGAGUGAGUGUUUCACGCACACACACGCAUCUGAAGAAGAAAGCUCAGCCUUGGGACUGCCCUAGCCCCACCUGAGCCUGACUCUCUGGAAAACACCAAUGAUGUACACGUGACGAGUCUGUGGAAGCCUUGCUGGCAGGCUGGGCUGCGUUUUUUUCAAAACCUCAGGUUUUCCCAGCCACAUAAGCUAUUCUUUCUCAAGGCAUGACUUUUGUGUAGAAAUUUAUCAUAUUUUUUCAUCAUUCCAGAAGUGAAUUAUUUUUUUUUUUUUGGAAAUUGAAGAAAAUCCUUUAAGCUGUCCGGGACUCACUCAAGCAUGUAAAAAGGGUAUUUUUCAACCAUAGUUCAGAUGCUGAGUAUGUUCUCAGCCUGAAUCAUCUGAAUUUAAAACUCUGCAUUGGGCCUCUUAGCCCAACAGCUGAGUGUCUUAAAAAGGGGCCAUUUAUAAAGAAAAAUACGGUCGUGAAAUAAAGGAUAUGUGGAGUUAGAGAUCCUGCGGGUUACAGUAAUAGAUUGAAAGUCAUAAAUCUUAGUUUCUAUUCUUGGCUCCAGAAAGAAUUUAUGUGUUCACUGCAUCUGGCACGUGG
ensembl:lncRNA